GAUGAACGCUAGCGGGAGGCUUAACACAUGCAAGUCGAGGGGCAGCAGGAGUAGCAAUACUUGCUGGCGACCGGCGCACGGGUGAGUAACGCGUAUGCAACCUACCCAUAACAGGGGGAUAGCUUUCGGAAACGGAAAUUAAUACCCCAUAGGAUUUUAAUACCGCAUGGUAUAAAGAUUAAAACUACGGUGGUUAUGGAUGGGCAUGCGUGCCAUUAGCUAGUUGGCGGGGUAACAGCCCACCAAGGCUACGAUGGCUAGGGGGUCUAAAAGGAUGAUCCCCCACACUGGUACUGAGACACGGACCAGACUCCUACGGGAGGCAGCAGUGAGGAAUAUUGGUCAAUGGGCGAGAGCCUGAACCAGCCAUCCCGCGUGCAGGAAGACGGCCCUAUGGGUUGUAAACUGCUUUUUUAUGGGAAGAAAAAGCUCUACGUGUAGGGCACUGACGGUACCAUAUGAAUAAGCAUCGGCUAACUCCGUGCCAGCAGCCGCGGUAAUACGGAGGAUGCGAGCGUUAUCCGGAUUUAUUAGGUUUAAAGGGUGUGUAGGCGGGUUAUUAAGUCAGUGGUGAAAUCUCAGAGCUUAACUCUGAAACUGCCAUUGAUACUGGUAAUCUUGAGUACAGUUGAAGUAGGCGGAAUGUGUAAUGUAGCGGUGAAAUGCUUAGAUAUUACACAGAACACCGAUUGCGAAGGCAGCUUACUAAGCUGUUACUGACGCUGAUGCACGAAAGCGUGGGGAGCGAACAGGAUUAGAUACCCUGGUAGUCCACGCUGUAAACGAUGAUUACUCGUUGUUGGCGAUAUAUGGUCAGCGACUGAGCGAAAGCAAUAAGUAAUCCACCUGGGGAGUACGGUCGCAAGACUGAAACUCAAAGGAAUUGACGGGGGCCCGCACAAGCAGUGGAGUAUGUGGUUUAAUUCGAAGCAACGCGAAGAACCUUACCAGGGCUUGACAUCCCUUGACGACGUAAGAGAUUACGUUUCCCUUCGGGGCAAGGAGACAGGUGGUGCAUGGUUGUCGUCAGCUCGUGUCGUGAGAUGUUGGGUUAAGUCCCGCAACGAGCGCAACCCCUAUUGUUAGUUGCCAGCACGUUAUGGUGGGCACUCUAGCGAGACUGCCGGUGAUAAAUCGGAGGAAGGUGGGGACGACGUCAAAUCAUCAUGCCCCUUAUGUCCUGGGCUACACACGUACUACAAUGGCUACUACAACGGGAAGCUAAGCCGUAAGGUGGAGCAAAACCCCAAAAGUAGUCCCAGUUCAGAUUGUGGGCUGAAACCCGCCCACAUGAAGUCGGAAUUGCUAGUAAUGGCAGGUCAGCAUACUGCCGUGAAUACGUUCCCGGGCCCUGUACACACCGCCCGUCACACCAUGAGAGUCUGUAACACCCGAAGUCAGUAGACUAACCGCAAGGAGGUCGCUGCCGAAGGUGGGACCGAUGAUUGGGGUG
rnacentral:rRNA from 1 species